UACGUAGGGUGCAAGCGUUGUCCGGAAUUAUUGGGCGUAAAGAGCUCGUAGGCGGUUUGUUGCGUCGGCUGUGAAAUCCCGAGGCUCAACCUCGGGUCUGCAGUCGAUACGAGCAAACUAGAGUGUUGCAGGGGAGACUGGAAUUCCUGGUGUAGCGGUGAAAUGCGCAGAUAUCGGGAGGAACACCGGUGGCGAAGGCGGGUCUCUGGGCCGUAACUGACGCUGAGGAGCGAAAGCGUGGGGAGCGAACAGG
rnacentral:rRNA from 1 species